AGAGUUUGAUCCUGGCUCAGGACGAACGCUGGCGGCGUGCCUAAUACAUGCAAGUCGAGCGAGCGGAACUAACAGAUUUACUUCGGUAAUGACGUUAGGAAAGCGAGCGGCGGAUGGGUGAGUAACACGUGGGGAACCUGCCCCAUAGUCUGGGAUACCACUUGGAAACAGGUGCUAAUACCGGAUAAGAAAGCAGAUCGCAUGAUCAGCUUUUAAAAGGCGGCGUAAGCUGUCGCUAUGGGAUGGCCCCGCGGUGCAUUAGCUAGUUGGUAAGGUAAAGGCUUACCAAGGCAAUGAUGCAUAGCCGAGUUGAGAGACUGAUCGGCCACAUUGGGACUGAGACACGGCCCAAACUCCUACGGGAGGCAGCAGUAGGGAAUCUUCCACAAUGGACGCAAGUCUGAUGGAGCAACGCCGCGUGAGUGAAGAAGGUUUUCGGAUCGUAAAGCUCUGUUGUUGGUGAAGAAGGAUAGAGGUAGUAACUGGCCUUUAUUUGACGGUAAUCAACCAGAAAGUCACGGCUAACUACGUGCCAGCAGCCGCGGUAAUACGUAGGUGGCAAGCGUUGUCCGGAUUUAUUGGGCGUAAAGCGAGCGCAGGCGGUUUAAUAAGUCUGAAGUUAAAGGCAGUGGCUUAACCAUUGUUCGCUUUGGAAACUGUUAGACUUGAGUGCAGAAGGGGAGAGUGGAAUUCCAUGUGUAGCGGUGAAAUGCGUAGAUAUAUGGAGGAACACCGGUGGCGAAAGCGGCUCUCUGGUCUGUAACUGACGCUGAGGCUCGAAAGCGUGGGGAGCAAACAGGAUUAGAUACCCUGGUAGUCCACGCCGUAAACGAUGAGUGCUAGGUGUUAGGCCCUUUCCGGGGCUUAGUGCCGCAGCUAACGCAUUAAGCACUCCGCCUGGGGAGUACGACCGCAAGGUUGAAACUCAAAGGAAUUGACGGGGGCCCGCACAAGCGGUGGAGCAUGUGGUUUAAUUCGAAGCAACGCGAAGAACCUUACCAGGUCUUGACAUCCCGAUGCUAUUCCUAGAGAUAGGAAGUUUCUUCGGAACAUCGGUGACAGGUGGUGCAUGGUUGUCGUCAGCUCGUGUCGUGAGAUGUUGGGUUAAGUCCCGCAACGAGCGCAACCCCUAUUGUUAGUUGCCAUCAUUAAGUUGGGCACUCUAGCGAGACUGCCGGUAAUAAACCGGAGGAAGGUGGGGAUGACGUCAAGUCAUCAUGCCCCUUAUGACCUGGGCUACACACGUGCUACAAUGGGCAGUACAACGAGAAGCGAGCCUGCGAAGGCAAGCGAAUCUCUGAAAGCUGUUCUCAGUUCGGACUGCAGUCUGCAACUCGACUGCACGAAGCUGGAAUCGCUAGUAAUCGCGGAUCAGCACGCCGCGGUGAAUACGUUCCCGGGCCUUGCACACACCGCCCGUCA
rnacentral:rRNA from 1 species